AUGCAGGUAAAGCAGAAUGUGAAUGAAAAUGCAGUAAGUGACCAGAUUCCAGGCAAAGAGGAGGAACUGAGUAGCAGUCCUCAGACCCAGACAGUUGAAGCUAUGCCUGAGCCCACAAGGUAUCCUUCUAGAGAGAGGAGGAGGCCAGCCUACCUCCAUGACUAUGUUUCUCAACAGGCAUCUGAUGAGGAAACUGAUCAGGUACAGAUUAACAUAGAUUACUGUUAUAGAGUGACAUGUAACAUACCUGUAACUUUCACAGAAGCUGUAACCUCAGAUAGAUCAAAAGAGUGGGUUGCUGCGAUGGAUGAGGAGAUGCAGUCACUUAUAGAGAAUAACACAUUUACCCUGAGUAGCUUGCCAGAGGGUAAGACGGUAGUGGGGGGUAGAUGGGUUUAUGCAAUCAAGAACAACAUAGAUGGAUCUGAAAAGUGCAAAGCACGUUAUGUGGCAAAAGGAUACAGUCAGAAGAGAGGUGUAGAUUAUGAGGAGACAUUUUCCCCUACAGCUAAUUUGACGAGUAUCAGAGUGAUAAUGCAAAAAGCAGCACAAGAAAACCUGAUUUUGCACCAAAUGGAUGUUAAAACUGCCUAUUUGAAUGCACCAAUAGACCAUGAAAUUUACAUGGAACAGCCAGAGGGCUAUGAGGUGAAAUCUGACACAAAUGAAAAAUUGUUUUGUAAAUUGGAAAGAUCACUGUAUGGUUUAAAACAAUCUGGCAGAAAUUGGAACAAAUUGCUGCAUGAGUACCUAACCAAAAACCACUUUGAGCAGAAUCAAGCUGAUCACUGUGUUUACACAUGGGAAACGGAAAAUGAAAAGGUGAUAAUUGUAAUAUGGGUUGAUGAUUUGUUGAUUGCUGCAAGUGAUGUAAAUGUACUCAGAAAUGUGAAGGACAUGAUUACAGAAAGAUUCAAAAUGAAGGACUUGGGCAAAUUAAGGCAUUUUUUGGGUAUUGAUUUUAAUCAAAGUGAUAACUGUGUGAGAAUGUCACAAACAAAAUAUGUGGGAAAAAUAUUGAAAAGGUUUAACAUGCAGGAUUGCAAACCUAGAUCGACACCUUGUGAACAAAAAUUAGACUAUACUAAUGGUGCUGAAAAAGAUGACUGAUGUGAGAAAAAUAUAGAGAGGCAGUUGGAAGUCUUCUUUAUCUGACCAUUUGUACUAGACCUGAUUUAAGUUUUGUGGUGUGCAAACUGGCACAGUAUUUCACAGAGCCAACUGCUGAGCAAUGGGCCACAGUUAAACAUGUACUGAGGUAUCUUAAAGGUACAAUUGACAAAGAGCUGUGUUACAGAAAAUGUAAUGAGACACUGGGAAUAAGAGCAUACUGUGAUGCAGAUUGGGCGGCUAGUAGUGAUAGACGUAGUACAACAGGCUAUUGUGUAAGUCUAACCAAAUGUGGUGCUUUGAUUUCAUGGAGGACCAAGAAACAGCCCACUGUCGCACUGUCCACUUGUGAGGCAGAAUAUAUAUCACUAGCCACAACCAUACAAGAGUGUCUCUAUCUUAAACAGCUGUUAAACAAUCUUGACAAGUGUCAGUACUCCCCACCUAAGGUAUAUGAAGAUAACCAAGGUACAAUAGCUUUAGCAAAAAAUCCUGUAAGCAGGCAAAGAUGCAAACAUGUAGACAUCAAGUAUCAUUUUAUUAGGUCUACUGUAAAUAAUGGUGUAAUUAUGUUAGAAUAUUGUCCAACUAAUGAGAUGGUAGCAGAUGUAUUGACAAAGCCUGCAACCAAGUGCAAGUUGAUGAAGUUUGCCGCAUUUAUUUUUGGAAAAUGAUGUUACAUAUAUUAACAAUGUGAGAGCAAGUGGGGGUGUUAACUAUGUGCUCUCAAAUUGUAGUUUUGUUUUUGUUUUGUUUAUUUGAUUGAAUGAUGGAACAACUGUGAUUGAUUGUUAAUGUGGGUGUGUACCUGUAAUGUUUCAAUAAAAAUCACCUUGAGUGAGCGCAGCUGUUGCUGUGCGUUCGAAGUCAGUCAAGUCGUUGCGUCGACUCUGUUAACAGAAACACUGCAGAUAUAUUUAGAAUAAGUUAAACGCUAACGUUAUAGUUUGACCUCUUAUUAACGUUCGCGCUCUUCCACUGAUAAACAUGGUAUUAGCUUUGUGGCUAAUCUAAUAUAGCAAUGCAUUAGCGGCUGUAAGUGAUGUUACAGAAUAUUUAGAAGUGAUAAUGAUAGGACCGUUAGCUAGAACUACCACACUGUUUUUAUAUACAGUGUAUGAACUAAAUCUACAAUCAUUUCACAUGACGAACGACAGACUCACCGUCAAAAGAGUACAUCUCCGUGGCUCGGCUGAUAUCGGUCGGGCUCUACAACGCACAAUGCUUAUUGUGAUUUAUUGGAUCAGUAGUGCCAUUCACUGUUCCGUCCAUUAACUGAAAACAGGCAAGUCUAUCGAUUCUUGGGAUUUAAGAAUCAAUAUUGUUUCGUAAAAAUGAGACUCAAUUAAAAUCGAGAUAUCAAUAUUUUUUAUCCAGCCCUACAUCUAACACAUGUAUGUUAUAUCUCACAAAUGCUUGUUAUAAAAUCAGAAUUGCAAGUUUAGCCUAUAUCUCAAGAAAAACGUUAAGUGUGAGAUAAAAAGUAGCAAUUAUGUUUAAAAAAAAAUUAUUCAGUGGGAACUUGCUUCCAUAAAUAUCAGUUACUGACUUAGUUGAGCUAAAAGAUGCCAAUGAAUAAUAAAUAGCUUAAGAAUCUGCCAUACCUGUAUAUACAGAGUCAAUACACAGAAAUUUGUUCAACUAAUGGUACUAGCAUAAAAAAGAACAGUUUAUCGCAAUUAAUAUAAGUUAUCAGAGUAUAAAUAAAAUAUAAUGUAAUAUAAAAUAUAUUGAUUAUAUUAAUUUGUCUUGCAUUGGUAAAAAAAGAAAAAAAAAUUUAAAUUAUUCUUAUUAUCUGCCUAACAAUGAGUGAAAAGUAAGGAAAGAGAGAAGACAGAAACAAAAACAGGAAUGAAAAUUACUCUUACAAGUUAGUCAUCUAAUUCAUUUUUUUUUUUUUUUUUUAAGGUUAAAAAAAAAAAAAAAAAAAAAAAGAUUAAUUACCCAUUGGAUAACUGCUAUUUGGUCAGACUUGUUCUUAAGACACAGUCCUAACAUAAGUGCUAAGUCAGUCUACAUAUUAACAAGUCAUAUUAAGUUAUUUCAAAAAACCUCUCAGGAAAAACUGCUAAGUUUAGCGUAUGUAAGUGCUGCAGAAGUGGAGAAACAAAUUCAUUUUCAGAAAACAGCCUUUAAAAAUAUGAUUGAAAUCCUCUGGAUAUGCAAACAGAUGGUGUGAAAUAAAAUAAACACUAAAAUGUGUACUUUGGCUGUAUUUUUUAUUCUGAAAGAAGACUUUAUUAAAGCAAAAUGGCUCAAAAUCUUUUGCCAAAACAGCAAUGCAACUUACACAUUCAGGGCCGGAUUAAGGUGGUCAGGGGCCCCUAGGCUGCUCUUUGUUUAAGGCAAGAAAGAAAAUAAGAAAUUUAUCUAGUGCCAUACAUGUUUCACACACAGACAGUAAGGUGAACUGGCAUACACACACACACACACUGAGACAGCCAAUCCUACAGUGUUUCCUCUACACUCCCAGUGUCCCCACAGGAUUUUGUGAGACUGUGAUGGGUGCACAUUGGUUCCUCUAGUCUAGGGGGUUCUGCGGGUAUAAGAAAAUUUUGUUAAUUUUAAAUGCAUAAAUCUGGUGCAUUUUGAGAGCAGAAUCAAGUGACUAGAUCAAUUAAGAAUGAUUGAUUUAUUGGUUCCAUAAAGUGUUGGGUAAGUUAGUCAAAAAAUUCUUUAAAAUUAUAAUUUGAUUACAUUACUGAUUACUGCAUUAAAAAGUAAUCUGAUUACUAAUUACUUUCCUUUUAAGUUACUUUCAAGUUUACUUUACUUUAGUUAUCAAACCUAAAAAAAUACACUACAAAGAGAAACUCGUAAUUCUUUCAUUAA
ensembl:lncRNA